rnacentral:rRNA from 1 species
GAUGAACGCUGGCGGCGUGCCUAAUACAUGCAAGUCGAGCGAACAGACGAGGAGCUUGCUCCUCUGACGUUAGCGGCGGACGGGUGAGUAACACGUGGAUAACCUACCUAUAAGACUGGGAUAACUUCGGGAAACCGGAGCUAAUACCGGAUAAUAUAUUGAACCGCAUGGUUCAAUAGUGAAAGACGGUUUUGCUGUCACUUAUAGAUGGAUCCGCGCCGCAUUAGCUAGUUGGUAAGGUAACGGCUUACCAAGGCAACGAUGCGUAGCCGACCUGAGAGGGUGAUCGGCCAAACUGGAACUGAGACACGGUCCAGACUCCUACGGGAGGCAGCAGUAGGGAAUCUGCCGCAAUGGGCGAAAGCCUGACGGAGCAACGCCGCGUGAGUGAUGAAGGUCUUCGGAUCGUAAAACUCUGUUAUUAGGGAAGAACAAAUGUGUAAGUAACUAUGCACGUCUUGACGGUACCUAAUCAGAAAGCCACGGCUAACUACGUG